rnacentral:rRNA from 1 species
UACGUAGGGACCAAGCGUUGUCCGGAAUCAUUGGGCGUAAAGCGCGUGUAGGCGGCCAGGUAGGUCCGUUGUGAAAACUCGAGGCUCAACCUCGAGACGUCGACGGAAACCCUCUGGCUAGAGUCCGGAAGAGGAGAGUGGAAUUCCUGGUGUAGCGGUGAAAUGCGCAGAUAUCAGGAAGAACACCCGUGGCGAAGGCGGCUCUCUGGUACGUGACUGACGCUGAGACGCGAAAGCGUGGGGAGCAAACAGG